rnacentral:misc_RNA from 1 species
GAUGAAAACGUAGCGAAAUGCGAUAAGUAAUGUGAAUUGCAGAAUUCAGUUAAUCAUCGAAUCUUUGAACGCACAUUGCGCCCCUUGGUAUUCCGAGGGGCAUGCCUGUUCGAGCGUCAUUAUAACCCCUCAAGCUUAGCUUGGUGUUGGGGCCUGCUGUAAUAGAGCAGCCCUUAAAAUCAGUGGCGGUGCCAUUAGGCUCUAAGCGUAGUAAUUCUUCUCGCUAUAGGGUUCUGGUGGAUGCUUGCCAUUAACCUCUAAUUUUCUAUGGUUGACCUCGGAUCAGGUAGGGAUACCCGCUGAACUUAAGCAUAUCAAUAAGCGGAGGA